AGCUCCAAUAGCGUAUAUUAAUGUUGUUGCAGUUAAAAAGCUCGUAGUUGGAUUUCUGGUGGGAACGCUGGUCCGGCUCCGCAAGGGGUCGUGAACUGGUUUCUCUCGCCAUCCUCAGGGGUUGGUGCACUGGUCUUAAUUGGUCGGUGUGUUUGACGCCUGUCGUUUACUGUGAACAAAUUAGAGUGUUCAAAGCAAGGUGUACUUGAAUACAUUAGCAUGGAAUAAUAAGAUAGGACUUUGGUGGUUCAUUUUUGAUAUUUUGUUGGUUUGCACGCCAAAGUAAUGAUUAAUAGGAGCAGUUGGGGGUAUUCGUAUUCAAUUGUCAGAGGUGAAAUUCUUGGAUUUAUAGAAGACGAACUACUGCGAAAGCAUUUACCAAGGAUGUUUUCAUUAAUCA
rnacentral:rRNA from 1 species